rnacentral:rRNA from 1 species
AAAACUUUCAACAACGGAUCUCUUGGUUCUGGCAUCGAUGAAGAACGCAGCGAAAUGCGAUAAGUAAUGUGAAUUGCAGAUUUCAGUGAAUCAUCGAAUCUUUGAACGCACAUUGCGCCCUCUGGUAUUCCGGGGGGCAUGCCUGUUCGAGCGUCAU